rnacentral:rRNA from 1 species
UUCUGGUUGAUCCUGCCGGACCUGACUGCUAUCGGAUUGAUACUAAGCCAUGCGAGUCAUUGUAGUAAUACAAGGCAUACGGCUCAGUAACGCGUAGUCAACCUAACCUAUGGACGGGAAUAACCUCGGGAAACUGAGUAUAAUUCCCGAUAGAACAUUAUGCCUGGAAUGGUUUAUGUUCCAAAUGAUUUAUCGCCAUAGGAUGGGACUGCGGCCUAUCAGUUUGUUGGUGAGGUAAUGGCCCACCAAGACUAUUACAGGUACGGGCUCUGAGAGGAGUAGCCCGGAGAUGGGUACUGAGACACGGACCCAGGCCCUAUGGGGCGCAGCAGGCGAGAAAACUUUGCAAUGUGCGAAAGCACGACAAGGUUAAUCCGAGUGAUUUCUGCUAAAGAAAUCUUUUGUUAGUCCUAGAAACACUAACGAAUAAGGGGUGGGCAAGUUCUGGUGUCAGCCGCCGCGGUAAAACCAGCACCUCAAGUGGUCAGGAUGAUUAUUGGGCCUAAAGCAUCCGUAGCCGGCUCUGUAAGUUUUCGGUUAAAUCUGUACGCUUAACGUACAGGCCGCCGGGAAUACUGCAAAGCUAGGGAGUGGGAGAAGUAGACGGUACUCGGUAGGAAGUGGUAAAAUGCUUUGAUCUAUCGAUGACCACCUGUGGCGAAGGCGGUCUACUAGAACACGUCCGACGGUGAGGGAUGAAAGCUGGGGGAGCAAACCGGAUUAGAUACCCGGGUAGUCCCAGCUGUAAACUAUGCAAACUCAGUGAUGCAUUGGCUUGUGGCCAAUGCAGUGCUGCAGGGAAGCCGUUAAGUUUGCCGCCUGGGAAGUACGUACGCAAGUAUGAAACUUAAAGGAAUUGGCGGGGGAGCACCACAAGGGGUGAAGCCUGCGGUUCAAUUGG